AGGGGUAUAGUUCUUCGGAGCUAGAGACCGGCGCACGGGUGCGUAACGCGUAUGCAAUCUACCUUACACUAAGGGAUAGCCCAGAGAAAUUUGGAUUAAUACCUUAUAGUAUAUGACUGGGACAUCCCUAACAUAUUAAAGAUUUAUCGGUGUAAGAUGAGCAUGCGUCCCAUUAGCUAGUUGGUGUGGUAACGGCAUACCAAGGCAAUGAUGGGUAGGGGUCCUGAGAGGGAGAUCCCCCACACUGGUACUGAGACACGGACCAGACUCCUACGGGAGGCAGCAGUGAGGAAUAUUGGUCAAUGGGCGCAAGCCUGAACCAGCCAUGCCGCGUGCAGGAUGACGCAUCUAUGGUGUGUAAACUGCUUUUGUACAGGAAGAAACAGUGCUACGUGUAGCACCUUGACGGUACUGUAAGAAUAAGGAUCGGCUAACUCCGUGCCAGCAGCCGCGGUAAUACGGAGGAUCCAAGCGUUAUCCGGAAUCAUUGGGUUUAAAGGGUCCGUAGGCGGUUUUAUAAGUCAGUGGUGAAAUCCGGUAGCUCAACUAUCGAACGGCCAUUGAUACUGUAGAACUUGAAUUAUUGUGAAGUAACUAGAAUAUGUAGUGUAGCGGUGAAAUGCUUAGAUAUUACAUGGAAUACCCAUUGCGAAGGCAGGUUACUAACAAUAUAUUGACGCUGAUGGACGAAAGCGUGGGGAGCGAACAGGAUUAGAUACCCUGGUAGUCCACGCCGUANACGAUGGAUACUAGCUGUUCGGUUUNCGGACUGAGUGGCUAAGCGAAAGUGAUAAGUAUCC
rnacentral:rRNA from 1 species